UGGAACUGAGACACGGUCCAGACUCCUACUGGAGGCAGCAGUGGGGAAUAUUGGACAAUGGGCGAAAGCCUGAUCCAGACAUGCCGCGUGUGUAAGAAGGUCUUCGGAUUGUAAAGCACUUUAAGUUGGGAGGAAGGGUACUUACCUAAUACGUGAGUAUUUUGACGUUACCGACAGAAUAAGCACCGGCUAACUCUGUGYCAGCAGCCGCGGUAAUACAGAGGGUGCAAGCGUUAAUCGGAAUUACUGGGCGUAAAGCGCGCGUAGGUGGUUUGUUAAGUUGGAUGUGAAAGCCCCGGGCUCAWCCUGGGAACUGCAUCCAAAACUGGCAAGCUAGAGUAUGGUAGAGGGUGGUGGAAUUUCCUGUGUAGCGGUGAAAUGCGUAGAUAUAGGAAGGAACACCAGUGCGAAGGCGWCCACCUGGACUGA
rnacentral:rRNA from 1 species